rnacentral:rRNA from 1 species
UACAGAGGUCUCGAGCGUUGUUCGGAUUCAUUGGGCGUAAAGGGUGCGUAGGUGGCGGGGUAAGUCAGGUGUGAAAUCUCGGGGCUCAACCCCGAAACUGCACUUGAUACUGCCUUGCUCGAGUACUGGAGAGGAGACUGGAAUUUACGGUGUAGCGGUGAAAUGCGUAGAGAUCGGGAGGAAGGCCGGUGGCGAAGGCGGCGCUCUGGAACGUUUCGUGACACUGAGGCUCGAAAGCGUGGGGAGCAACAGG